rnacentral:rRNA from 1 species
AUGUCGCUCGAGCGCAAAGAGGAUUGGAAUUCCAAGCAGCUGUAUUUUGGGGGUGCCUGUAGGGCUGUCACAUGGACUCGGACAGUUUCAUCUAACGGUUGGCGCCAGACAUGCGCUGCUGAUGUCGCUGACAUCUUGGUUGACGACGGAUCAGUGCAUUCGUCUUUGUUGCCCGGGCUGGGCAAAAAGUUGACACUGGGGGACCUCUACUCAGCUUUCCCUAUCCUGAGCCCGGAUGGUGACGAUAUUCUUUAUCUCAAAUCUGUGUUGGAACCUAGUAUUCAGGAUGGAUGGGUGGCCGCUCUUGACUUGGGAAACAAGGCAGUGAAAGCAAUUGGAAAGUAUUAUCUUCCGGAUGAUUUUUAUUACGAACUUCGCUAUGACCUUCAACAUCCUUUCUUUGCCUGUACAUUGUCCCGCCAUCUGGAUAUGACUCCAGGCACUGAAGUCUCAGCGUGUCGCAAGAUCCCAGAGGAGGCUAGCAGCUCUGCAAAUCAUCCAAGUAACUCCUCAAUCUGUGUGGGUGAGCUCAAUUCCUGCGAACCAAGGAGCAAAAUCCAAUGGCCAUUGGAAUGGGCUCAGAAAAACAAGCGUGCACGGUAUGCUGCUGGGAGUAUUAUGCAGAAUGAUCAUAUUUCCCAGCAGCUUGAUGAGAAGGUGCUGGAGCUAGAGCGGGAGAUAGAGCAUGAGCUAGAGCGGAAGAAAGAGCGGAAGACACAACAGCAGUGCUUCAAAAAGUGGGAUGUGCAAUGCUAUCCCCCUGGGCAGUCAUUGUGGCCCCAAAACAAUCUGCCAGCGCGGCAAUACUUCAACAAGCCAGAUGGACCAUGUGGCCCUGGUUAUGCAUCGUUUGCCCCUGUACAUGGUCGUCACAACUACCAGCCACUGUGGCAGAAGCCACCACCAUUAAAACAGCUUUUCACUUAUAGCAGUGAGUUUGGACCUCAUGAGGUACCCCAGCCAUCCGUCAACAAUAGCAGUGGAGUCAUCUACCAUUGA